GAUGAAGAACGCAGCGAAAUGCGAUAAGUAAUGUGAAUUGCAGAAUUCAGUGAAUCAUCGAAUCUUUGAACGCACCUUGCGCUCCUUGGUAUUCCGAGGAUCAUGCCUGUUUGAGUGUCAUUAAUAUAUCAACCUUCUCUUUUUUGAGUUGUUUGGAUGUGGGGGUUUGCUGGCCUCUUAAAUGAUUCAGCUCCCCUGAAAUGCAUUAGCAGAACAACCUGUUCAUUAGCGUGAUAAUUAUCUAUGCUAUUGAAUGUGAGGGCAGUUCAGCUUUCUAACCGUCCUUGGACAAUUCAUCAUUAAUGUGACCUCAAAUCAGGUAGGACUACCCGCUGAACUUAAGCAUAUCAAUAAGCGGAGGA
rnacentral:misc_RNA from 1 species